rnacentral:rRNA from 1 species
UGGGGAAUAUUGCACAAUGGGCGAAAGCCUGAUGCAGCGACGCCGCGUGAGGGAAGAAGGUUUUCGGAUUGUAAACCUCUGUCUUCGGGGACGAAAAAAAUGACGGUACCCGAGGAGGAAGCCACGGCUAACUACGUGCCAGCAGCCGCGGUAAAACGUAGGUGGCAAGCGUUGUCCGGAAUUACUGGGUGUAAAGGGAGCGCAGGCGGGAUGGUAAGUUGAAUGUGAAAACUAUGGGCUCAACCCAUAGAUUGCGAUCAAAACUACUGUUCUUGAGUGAUGGAGAGGCAGGCGGAAUUCCCGGUGUAGCGGUGGAAUGCGUAGAUAUCGGGAGGAACACCAGUGGCGAAGGCGGCCUGCUGGACAUUAACUGACGCUGAGGCUCGAAAGUAUGGGGAGC